rnacentral:rRNA from 1 species
UGUGUAGGCGGCUUUCUAAGUUUGGUGUGAAAUCUCCCGGCUUAACCGGGAGGGUGCGCCGAAGACUGGAAGGCUAGAGUAUGGGAUGGGAGAGUGGAAUUCCUGGUGUAGCGGUGAAAUGCGUAGAUAUCAGGAGGAACACCUGCGGUGUAGACGGCUCUCUGGACCAUUACUGACGCUGAGACACGAAAGCGUGGGUAGCAAACAGGAUUAGAUACCCUGGUAGUCCACGCCCUAAACGAUGCAUAUUUGGUGUGGGCCAUUCAUUUGGUCUGUGCCGGAGCUAACGCGUUAAAUAUGCCGCCUGGGGAGUACAGUCGCAAGGCUGAA